rnacentral:rRNA from 1 species
UGGGGAAUAUUGCACAAUGGGGGAAACCCUGAUGCAGCGACGCCGCGUGAACGAAGAAGGUAUUCGUAUCGUAAAGUUCUGUCCUAUGGGAAGAUAAUGACAGUACCAUAGAAGAAAGCUCCGGCUAAAUACGUGCCAGCAGCCGCGGUAAUACGUAUGGAGCGAGCGUUGUCCGGAAUUAUUGGGCGUAAAGGGUACGCAGGCGGUUUAAUAAGUCGAAUGUUAAAGAUCGGGGCUCAACCCCGUAAAGCAUUGGAAACUGAUAAACUUGAGUAGUGGAGAGGAAAGUGGAAUUCCUAGUGUAGUGGUGAAAUACGUAGAUAUUAGGAGGAAUACCAGUAGCGAAGGCGACUUUCUGGACACAAACUGACGCUGAGGUACGAAAGCGUGGGGAGCAAACAGA